UGGCGGUGACAAACCGGAGGGGGGUGGGGAUGAUUAAAAUCAUCAUGCCCCUUGUGACCUGGGCUACACACGUGAUACAAUGGGUGGUACAAAGGGCAGCAAAACCGCGAGGUCGAGCCAAUCCCAUAAAAGGGAGUCUCAGUUCGGAUUGUAGGGUGCAACUCGCCUACAUGAAGCUGGAAUCGCUAGUAAUCGCGGAUCAGCAUGCCGCGGUGAAUACGUUCCCGGGCCUUGUACACACCGCCCGUCACACCACGAGAGUUUGUAACACCCGAAGUCGGUGGGGUAACCGUAAGGAGCCAGCCGCAUAAUGGGGG
rnacentral:rRNA from 1 species